UACGUAGGGGGCUAGCGUUGUCCGGAAUCAUUGGGCGUAAAGCGCGCGUAGGCGGCCCGGUAAGUCCGCUGUAAAAGUCAAAGGCUCAACCUUUGAAUGUCAGUGGAUACUGCCGGGCUAGAGUCCGGAAGAGGCGAGUGGAACUCCUGGUGUAGCGGUGAAAUGCGCAGAUAUCAGGAAGAACACCCGUGGCGAAAGCGGCUCUCUGGGACGGUACUGACGCUGAGACGCGAAAGCGUGGGGAGCGAACAGG
rnacentral:rRNA from 1 species